rnacentral:rRNA from 1 species
UUUGUAGAAUGAACCGGCGAGUUACGAUUUGAUGCAAGGUUAAGCAGUAAAUGUGGAGCCGUAGCGAAAGCGAGUCUGAAUAGGGCGUUUAGUAUUUGGUCGUAGACCCGAAACCAGGUGAUCUACCCUUGGUCAGGUUGAAGUUCAGGUAACACUGAAUGGAGGACCGAACCGACUUACGUUGAAAAGUGAGCGGAUGAACUGAGGGUAGCGGAGAAAUUCCAAUCGAACCUGGAGAUAGCUGGUUCUCUCCGAAAUAGCUUUAGGGCUAGCCUCAAGUGAUGAUUAUUGGAGGUAGAGCACUGUUUGGACGAGGGGCCCCUCUCGGGUUACCGAAUUCAGACAAACUCCGAAUGCCAAUUAAUUUAACUUGGGAGUCAGAACAUGGGUGAUAAGGUCCGUGUUCGAAAGGGAAACAGCCCAGACCACCAGCUAAGGUCCCAAAAUAUAUGUUAAGUGGAAAAGGAUGUGGCGUUGCCCAGACAACUAGGAUGUUGGCUUAGAAGCAGCCAUCAUUUAAAGAGUGCGUAAUAGCUCACUAGUCGAGUGACACUGCGCCGAAAAUGUACCGGGGCUAAACAUAUUACCGAAGCUGUGGAUUGUCCUUUGGACAAUGGUAGGAGAGCGUUCUAAGGGCGUUGAAGCAUGAUCGUAAGGACAUGUGGAGCGCUUAGAAGUGAGAAUGCCG